rnacentral:snRNA from 1 species
AUCGCUUCUCGGCCUUUCGGCUAAGAUCAAGUGUAGUAUCUGUUCUUAUCAGAAAAGAUGAAGGAAUGAGACAGACUGUUUAAAUAGAAAAGCAAUGGCUGAAAAUUAUAUAUAUAAAAAAAAAAGAUAGUUAAACAACCCAGU